AUCCUGUGCCCCCAGUAAUUAAUAAAAUUUUGUCAUCGAACAUAAUUAUCUCCCUUUUUGCCAUUGGCAUAGUUAAUAAUUUUUUCUUUACUAAAGUCAUUGACGAUGUCUUGAAUAAUCGCUUCAACUUCAUUACAUUUCAUAUGUUGUACUUUGCCACGAUAUAUUUUUUCAAAUACUUGUUCAGGAUGAACCUCAUCUUUAUUCAUAAGCUCUUCAAACAUUUUUUCGCCGGGUCUAAUCCCUGUAUAAGUAAUGCGUAUGUCGUCUUCUUUUUUA
rnacentral:sRNA from 1 species